rnacentral:rRNA from 1 species
GAUGAACGCUAGCUACAGGCUUAACACAUGCAAGUCGAGGGGAAACGACAUCGAAAGCUUGCUUUUGAUGGGCGUCGACCGGCGCACGGGUGAGUAACGCGUAUCCAACCUGCCCACCACUUGGGGAUAACCUUGCGAAAGUAAGACUAAUACCCAAUGAUAUCUCUAGAAGACAUCUGAAAGAGAUUAAAGAUUUAUCGGUGAUGGAUGGGGAUGCGUCUGAUUAGCUUGUUGGCGGGGUAACGGCCCGCCAAGGCAACGAUCAGUAGGGGUUCUGAGAGGAAGGUCCCCCACAUUGGAACUGAGACACGGUCCAAACUCCUACGGGAGGCAGCAGUGAGGAAUAUUGGUCAAUGGACGAGAGUCUGAACCAGCCAAGUAGCGUGCAGGAAGACGGCCCUAUGGGUUGUAAACUGCUUUUAUAAGGGAAUAAAGUGAGUCUCGUGAGACUUUUUGCAUGUACCUUAUGAAUAAGGACCGGCUAAUUCCGUG